rnacentral:rRNA from 1 species
UACAGAGGUCUCAAGCGUUGUUCGGAUUCAUUGGGCGUAAAGGGUGCGUAGGCGGCGCGGUAAGUCGGGUGUGAAAUCUCGGAGCUUAACUCCGAAACUGCGUUCGAUACUGCCGUGCUUGAGGACUGGAGAGGAGACUGGAAUUUACGGUGUAGCGGUGAAAUGCGUAGAUAUCGUAAGGAAGACCAGUGGCGAAGGCGGGUCUCCUGGACAGUUCCUGACGCUGAGGCACGAAGGUCAGGGGAGCAAACGGG